AGCCAGGGCAGGAAUAUUUAUACCAUAGGAAUUGACGAACACUGUAUAUAGGGACUUUCUUCUCUAGAAAUCCAGUUGUUAAUCAUUUACCAGCACAUCCCUGGAUAAACAGGAGUCAGCUAAGUGGAAUGGGAGAAGGAGGACAAGAAAAGAGAAGUCCGGCAGUGUGGACAGCUUGUGUGAAGGCCCAGAGGACCACCUGCCAGGCACAGAUCCAGAAAGAAACCAGGACCAGCCCUGUCCACAAGGAGCUGUCUGCAGAGGAGACAGGAUGCCCGUAUAGAAAAUAGGGCUGCAGCAUCAGACGGCUGCUCCCCACCCAGGAUGGAAGGACAAACAGAGAGGAUGCAUCAGGGAAGGGAGAGGCAGAGAAAGCUGACCAGGGUAGGUAGAGAAGGCUUCCCAGGAAGGCGGCAUUCCCAGCAAGGUGAGCUAAGACUUGGAGGAUGGAGGAGGUGGAGGGUUGGAAAGGAAGGAGUAGGCCAUCCCUGGGGCCACCCCCAGCCUUCUAUCACAUUUGGAUCACUAUGGACCACGCCAGGUCAUCUCCGCUUUUCCCAGCAGGGAUGUUGAUCAGACCUGGGCACUCUGCAGUGAUGAUCAGCAGCUCAAGAGCAAGGGUGGCUCCUGACCGUGAGGGGUCAGCACCAGGCCCACAAGCCUGUCUGUUGCACCAGUGCCCAGGAGGGGCUGUGGACUGCGGACCUGUUUUCUCUGGCUCGACCUCACCCAGAACCAGCGGCAGAAAGGCCAGUUAUGCAACCAUCCUCACCACAGCCUGCCAGCCUCAGAGGCUGGGCCUGGCCGCCAGGCCUGGUAAGGAGACUGCUGUGGCCUGCACAGCACAAGGCCAUCCUGGGCCCCGACUGCCACUUUCCAUGCAGGUGCAAGACGCUCUGCUGACAAAUACCUGGGGAAAGCAGGAGCUGUGGGAGGGAGGUAAAAACAGCACAGUUGGCAACAGAGAAGGCUUUUCUAAGUCCUCAGGGUCCUAUUAUUCCUUGUCCAUGGGAUACACAUGAGCUGGCACUGAGCAUUCUCUCUUCUCCAAGGCUCAUGCUUAGAACAGGCACAGAGGCCUGGGAGGCCUCUUGUAUCAUGUCAGGAGCUGCACAGUGAUCAGAAGUUAGGGAGAGCGCCUGUUGCAGAGGCUGGAUUUGAAGGAUAUGCUGGGGCUGCCGUCAUAACCCCACAUCCCCAGUGGGUUCUCUCUGGCCACUCCCUCUACGGCCAGUUCUGUUUUCUCCCCAUUUUUGGAAACCCAAAUUCUUGAUGUUUCUGUUAUUCACAUUGCCAUUAAGAAUUACGGGCUUUGCGCUGUGUUUUUAAUUUGUUGUGUAAGGGUUUUACACAAACACAGCUAGAUGCCUAGAAAAGACAAUGUAUAUGGGCAUGCAGGCUGUGCACUGCACAACUCCAGAGGGCUUCAUUCAUGACCAGGAUGUGAGCGGCGCCCUGGAAUCAUGCAAUGUGGUUACUGGUAUUGCCAGAGAGGAAAUGAUGUCUUACAUGACCCCAUAUCCCCGGGAAAAGGCCAGCCAUGCUAAUAAAGAUUUGCUAACUAACCAAUUUGUCUCCUGCUUCCAAAUAUUCCAUGCAUGGGGUUUGGCAGGCACACAGCCACAAUGCGCAAUGGCCUAGAAAGAGAGCCAUAUUGAAAUAUAAUAAUGUAUUUCCAGGCCAUGGAGGUGGAGAGGCACAAGGAAUUGAUCUUUCUAAGGCAAGGAAGAUUCAUAACCACUGAAUGAGUUAACCACUACCUUCUUCUGAAUGUGCAGAUUAAAUUCUCUGUUGCACCAUCCAAGUGCGCUAAAUUUUAACAGACCUGGAAUUUGGAUAUAUGUAUUUCUCUUUCACAGAAUUUCCAUUCUUUUACUAACACAGUUUCAGAGUUUGAGAUAUGAGCAGGCAGUGUGUGGGGAUAAUAAGGCAUCAUUCCACACCAGGAUGCACAGGCCCAUGGUUUAAUGAUGAGACUUCGCUGGUGGGUGCAAACUUUGCUGGUCCCCCAUGCUCUCUUGAAUCUGUGUGCAUCUCACACAUACGUACACACACACACACACACACACACACACACACACACACACCUCUCAAGUUUUUAAAAACCUACUUAAAUUCUGCAUCCUACCUCCAAUAUACUCUGUGUACAGUGUAAGUGUUAAUACCAAAAAUAGUGUUUUUCUGCUGGGCACAGUGGCUCACGCCUGUAAUUCCAGCACUUUGGGGGCCGAGGCAGGUGGACCACUUGAGCUCAAGAGUUAGAGACCAGCCUGGGCAACAUGGCGAAACUCCAUCUCCACCAAAAAUACAAAAAAUUAGCCAGGCAUGAUGGUGCAUGCCUGUAGUCACAUGCCUGCAGUCCCAGCUACUCAGGAGGCUGAGGUGGGAGAUUGCUUGAGCCCAGGAGGUGGAGGUUUUAGAGAAAAAUAGUGUUUUUCUCCAAAACUUCAUGGAAGACUGUUGACACUCAGAAAAAUGACCCAAUAUUGAUUCUGUGCCUCCACAUACCCCCCAGCACAGAGAUGUGGCACAUGUGCUGUGGUUCAUAAAGUACAUUUAUAUGUCAUCUGAUGUGAAUCUCACAGCAGUCCUGGAGUUGUACAUUGAGUAACCUGCAUGACUGUAUACAGCCCACUGCCUGUCAGGUAGAGAAAAGAUGAUUAUCCCAUUUUCCAGCAAGAAAAA